UUAACAUUCUGAGUAAGGAAAGAAAAUAGAAAAUUCCCUCAAUAUUGGUGACAAAGUCUACUGAGCUCUGUAUUCAUUUUGCUAGACAUAAGGGUUAAGGAGACUAGAGAAAGGAGUUUAAUGUGAGAGACUACAUAAGUGAAAAGAAGCUCUGGUUACUUCUGCAGUUCAAGGCUCAAAGGAAAGCUUUACUUGGAGAUGGCCAGGCUGAAGGUGCUGCCUGUCCUGCUCAGCUGCUCCAGCAUUUUGUCUGGGUUGAAAUGGAACUUGGGAUAGAAGGUUUCACAAAGGUGCAAUUCAGAAGAUGUGCUUUGUUACACUUACAUCCUCAAGAAGAACACAAAAUAAACAUUGAUCACAUUUAUCUACACGGCCAUACAUUAAAUUUUCACCAUCUGUGAAAUUAAUUACACAACUGACGCGCAAUUAUGAUAUCCAAAAUUCACCAAGACUCCUCAGCCAGUACCUCCCAAACCCGCAAACUCUAUCAGCGAGAAGGACACGGGCAACAAAAGUAAGUGAACACAACCCGGCAGAAGUUACUCUCCAAAGCCAUACACCUACUUGAUUUGCAGUAUAUUGCUUUUCUUUCAUUGUACCUGGGACCUUAAGAAUUGCAGCUGUUCAAGAAGGCAGCUCACCACUACCUUCUCAAGGGAAUUAAGAUAAGCAAUUAAAUGUUGGCUCAGCCUGAAAAACUCAUAUCCCUUGAAUGAAUUAUAAAAAAAUCCUUUGUUAGUGAUUCAUAAUUUGUCAUUCAUUUAAAUGUUUUGUGCCUAAAUAUACAUACAUACAUACAUAUAUAUACACAUACACACACACCAUUGUAAUUUGACUUUUACUUUCUACUGUCCAUUAUUUUUUCACCAGUUAUGCCAUCUUUUGUUUAAUUUCCUGUUUGUUUUCACCUUUCUAUUUUCCACAAAUAUUUUAUUAGUCAGUUGAAUCUUCUUCUAUUGCUUUAUCUCAUCCACAAAGCUGUCGUUGCAUCCAUGUACUUUUCCAGACUGCUCCAAAUGAAUCUAGAAUGUGAAUCCUUCCUUUUUCACUAAGUACCAGUUCUCUGCAUCAGAGUUGUGUAGAUAAUGGAACUGCUGCCUCUCAGUGAUGGUGACCUGGGUUCAGUUCUGUUUGGGGCUGUGAAAUUUGUAGGUUCUUAUGAUUUUCUUUGGAUGUUCUAGUUUCUUCCCAUAUAUUGAUAGGUUAAUUGACCAUUUUAAAUUUUAUGUGGAUGAGUAGUGGAAUCUGGGGGAGAGCUGAUGAAAAUAUGAGGAAAAUAAAUAAAACAAGAUCAGUGGGAUUAGUGUAGGUGGGUGUUUGAAUGGUCAGCGCAGACUCAGUGGGCAGAAGAGCCUAUUUCUAUGCUGUGUUAUUCUGUGGCUCUACAACAAUUAAAAAACAUUAUUGACAUACAGCCUUUUGCACUGCAACAGCCAGCGAUUUCCCCCAAUUUAAUCCUAGUAAUCAUGGGACAAUUUGCAAUGACUAAUUAACAUACCAACCAGGAUGUUUUGGGAAUAUGGGAGGAAACUGGGGUGCCCAGGGGAAACCCAUGUGCCACCGGGAAAAUGUACAAACUCCUUACAGGCAGCAAAGGGAAUUGAACCCCGGUUGCUGGUACUGUAAGAGCAUUGUGCUAACCACUACGGUACUGUGCUGACCGAUUUCUUCACAUUUGCAACAACUUCUAAUACUAAUCUUUCCUUUAUGGAACAAUUCUUGUGUUUAAGAUCUUAAAUUAUAUUUGCAUUUAUGUGUUUGAACUGUGAUAAUUUAAGAUGAGAAAAAUGACUGUCCAAAAGAAAAUUCAGUUGAGAAGUAAGCAGUCUUGUAUAAAUUAUAUGAGAGUAGAUGAUUAACAGAGCCUAUAUAAUCUGCUCAACAUUUGCUUGAAUUUGUUAAAUAUGGAACUUGGUCAAAGAUUACAUCCUGCUGGAUUGUUAAUGCCUGUUUCCUCUGACUGUGCAGUCUGUUCAGGAUAUGGAGCUGUAAGGAGACGUGAACUACAUUUACCACAAAUAAAUGCAAUAACCUAUUUA